rnacentral:rRNA from 1 species
ACAAACAGGGUGAGAGACCCUGUCGCCGAAAGUCCAAGGGUUCCUGCUUAAAGCUAAUCUGAGCAGGGUUAGUCGGCCCCUAAGACGAGCCCGAAGGGGGUAGUCGAUGGGAAACGGGUUAAUAUUCCCGUACCUGGAGGUGUGUGACGGAUGGCGUAAGUUGUUCUUCCUUAUCGGAUUGGUAAGGGCAGCGAAGUUGUCCCAGGAAAUAGCCCCUCCAUUAUAGACCGUACCCUAAACCGACACAGGUGGGAUGGUAGAGUAUACCAAG